GGCGGCACCGCCCGCGGGGAGGGGCGGUGGAGGCGGCGGGGCAGAGCGGAGAGGAGCAGAGCGGCCCUCUGCCGGGCUCGGUGCGUAUGGAAUGGAGCGAGCGCCGGGGCUGAAGUCAGCGACGGGAAACCGAGCGACAAAAACAGAAGGUCUCGGCGGCGUGCGGUACAGGAAGGCGCCCAGAGCUCAGGAGCAGCCGCGCUCAGCGGGUCUCGCAGAGCGGAGCGCUUCACGGAACCGCUGCCAGAGAGAGAACCCUGCGCGGAGCCGCCCCCGGGGCUGCAGCGCCGGCAGCGGGCGUGGGGGAGGGCAGAGCCGGGCCUGGGGCUUCGGGCACGCUUCCAUGUCUGACGCCGUUUUGUCAGACCGCCCCUCGGCGCCGUCUGCCACACGGCAGCGCGUCCGGAACGUUGGUGGGAAGAUUCAGCCUCUGCUGCAGUCCCACCAACGUCCACCUCUGAUAUCGUGGGCCAACGUCAUAGAAUAAGAGGCGUUACUUUCAGAGCAGCCCUCGCAUUUUAGACUUCUAUCAAAGAUCAGUAGUUAAUGGUUGCUUUGCAGUUGCAGCAACACUCGUGCUACAAAAGACUAAACGCAGCCAUUAGCAGCCCAGCCCACCAGCAGCAGUACCACAGAUGAAACCUAAUCACUACAAGCACAAGAGUGGCAGAAAAUUCACCACCACACGUAUGUAUGUCCCUGGUGCCUGGCUGCUCGCUUGCAAGCACUUGCGAGAUGGGUGGAGGUCAGCAGGCUUCAAAAGCAGUUGAAAACAAAAAGACAGUUCCUUCUUAAAGGAGAUCCAAUAGCAGGCAGUGCUGGGACACGAUCGCGGACACCAUGGUGUGGUUCCAGCUUGCCAGAAUGAAGGUACAGCGGGCAGCACUCAGCAUCGAAAGCAUGCAAGCUCUGACCAGCACAAGGCGAAGCCCACAAGCAGCCCUUCCAGGACAGCUAACCCAGACAUCAACUGCCAACCCAUAGCCC
rnacentral:lncRNA from 1 species